rnacentral:lncRNA from 1 species
GUGAAAGCCUGAUGGAAGACUUUCUUGGGGUGUGAGGUAGAAGUAGGUGAAACAAAGAUGUGGGAAGAGGGGAGAGGGUGGUGAUGUGUGUGUGGGUUAGGAAUACAUUUAAGGGUGAAAGAGCAUUGGGCCAGGGACCAAAUAGCGCAUGCUAAAGCCAUAUAACAGAGAGAAAAUUGAUCUGGAGGCUGAUGAAUGAGUGCUCUCGCCUAUUUCUGUAAUAGGUGGCGGUUGAUGUGACAUAACAUCAGGAGCCCCCAUGUGCUUUGGACGUUCUGACUGACCUUGGUGGGGCAAGGUGGGAGAAAGGUCGACAAUAAACAAAUUUAAAUACUUCUUAUUUCAUGGAGUGAAGUUUUGGUUUUAAGUUACAGUGAAGAAGCUGCUUAAAGGCAAAUGCAGAGUGUAGAAACAUCUAAUUAGUUUUGGUUUCUUAACAGAUGUGGACAUGUCCAAAGAAGGGGUUGACGGUUUGAAGACCAAGGAUGAUAAAUGUCCCAUUAUUACUGUGGACUCAAACAGUGAUGAAGAUCCUGACUGCUAUAUAACUGGAGUGAAGAUGAAGAACAACAACAUCAGGUGGGUAGGAGAAUUGGUGAAAGUUGACUUUUUUAAAGGAAUAAUGUUUGGGUAAGAUGAUUUCAGAAUAAAAAUCACAUUUUCUCUGUGAAUCCUAUGUUC